UACGUAGGGUGCGAGCGUUGUCCGGAAUUAUUGGGCGUAAAGAGCUUGUAGGCGGUUUGUCGCGUCUGCUGUGAAAAUCCGGGGCUCAACCCCGGACUUGCAGUGGGUACGGGCAGACUAGAGUGUGGUAGGGGAGACUGGAAUUCCUGGUGGUAGCGGUGAAAUGCGCAGAUAUCAGGAGGAACACCGAUGCGAAGGCAGGUCUCUGGGCCACUACUGACGCUGAGAAGCGAAAGCAUGGGGAGCGAACAGG
rnacentral:rRNA from 1 species